UUUGAUCUAUUCCCCUCCCUUUUCAUCUAAUUCCCCUUCUUUAUGCAUCCAUUUCAUUUGGCAUAUGAUAUCUCAAAGUCCUAAAGCUAGUUGAUUGAAAAAUCAACAUGAGUACGAAUGAGAUUAUGCCACCUCUUUUGCAUGUUCUUUUUGUGUGUGGUAUGUUUCAUGAGCAUAGUCCAUUAUAAUAUGUCUCUAACAUGCAUUAGCACCAAAAUU
rnacentral:lncRNA from 1 species